CUCUGUUGCCCAGGCUGGAGUGCAGUGGCAUGAUUACAGCUCACUGCAUCCUCAAACUAUCAGGGUCUCAUUCUGUUGCCCAGGCUGGAGAGCAGUGGCAUGAUCACGGCUCACUGCAUCCUCAAACACCUGGGCUCA
rnacentral:snoRNA from 1 species